rnacentral:rRNA from 1 species
GUGACCUCAAAUCAGGUAGGACUACCCGCUGAACUUAAGCAUAUCAAUAAGCGGAGGAAAAGAAACUAACAAGGAUUCCCCUAGUAACUGCGAGUGAAGCGGGAAAAGCUCAAAUUUAAAAUCUGGCGGUCUUUUGGCUGUCCGAGUUGUAAUCUAGAGAAGUGUUAUCCGCGCUGGACCGUGUACAAGUCUCCUGGAAUGGAGCAUCAUAGAGGGUGAGAAUCCCGUCUUUGACAUGGACUACCAGGGCUUUGUGAUGCGCUCUCAAAGAGUCGAGUUGUUUGGGAAUGCAGCUCAAAAUGGGUGGUAAAUUCCAUCUAAAGCUAAAUAUUGGCGAGAGACCGAUAGCGAACAAGUACCGUGAGGGAAAGAUGAAAAGAACUUUGGAAAGAGAGUUAAACAGUACGUGAAAUUGCUGAAAGGGAAACGCUUGAAGUCAGUCGCGUUGUCCAGGGAUCAACCUUGCUUUUGCUUGGUGCACUUCCUGGUUUGACGGGUCAGCAUCAAUUUUGACCGUUGGAAAAAGGUUAAGGGAAUGUGGCAUCUUCGGAUGUGUUUAUAGCCCUUGGUCACAUACAAUGGUUGGGAUUGAGGAACUCAGCACGCCGCAAGGCCGGGUYAAAACCACGUACGUGCUAGGAU